rnacentral:rRNA from 1 species
CGCUGGCGGCGUGCCUAAUACAUGCAAGUCGAGCGAGCAGAACCAGCAGAUUUACUUCGGUAAUGACGCUGGGGACGCGAGCGGCGGAUGGGUGAGUAACACGUGGGGAACCUGCCCCAUAGUCUGGGAUACCACUUGGAAACAGGUGCUAAUACCGGAUAAUAAAGCAGAUCGCAUGAUCAGCUUAUAAAAGGCGGCGUAAGCUGUCGCUAUGGGAUGGCCCCGCGGUGCAUUAGCUAGUUGGUAAGGUAACGGCUUACCAAGGCAAUGAUGCAUAGCCGAGUUGAGAGACUGAACGGCCACAUUGGGACUGAGACACGGCCCAAACUCCUACGGGAGGCAGCAGUAGGGAAUCUUCCACAAUGGACGCAAGUCUGAUGGAGCAACGCCGCGUGAGUGAAGAAGGUUUUCGGAUCGUAAAGCUCUGUUGUUGGUGAAGAAGGAUAGAGGUAGUAACUGGCCUUUAUUUGACGGUAAUCAACCAGAAAGUCACGGCUAACUACGUGCCAGCAGCCGCGGUAAUACGUAGGUGGCAAGCGUUGUCCGGAUUUAUUGGGCGUAAAGCGAGCGCAGGCGGAAGAAUAAGUCUGAUGUGAAAGCCCUCGGCUUAACCGAGGAAUUGCAUCGGAAACUGUUUUUCUUGAGUGCAGAAGAGGAGAGUGGAACUCCAUGUGUAGCGGUGGAAUGCGUAGAUAUAUGGAAGAACACCAGUGGCGAAGGCGGCUCUCUGGUCUGCAACUGACGCUGAGGCUCGAAAGCAUGGGUAGCGAACAGGAUUAGAUACCCUGGUAGUCCAUGCCGUAAACGAUGAGUGCUAAGUGUUGGGAGGUUUCCGCCUCUCAGUGCUGCAGCUAACGCAUUAAGCACUCCGCCUGGGGAGUACGACCGCAAGGUUGAAACUCAAAGGAAUUGACGGGGGCCCGCACAAGCGGUGGAGCAUGUGGUUUAAUUCGAAGCAACGCGAAGAACCUUACCAGGUCUUGACAUCUAGUGCCAUCCUAAGAGAUUAGGAGUUCCCUUCGGGGACGCUAAGACAGGUGGUGCAUGGCUGUCGUCAGCUCGUGUCGUGAGAUGUUGGGUUAAGUCCCGCAACGAGCGCAACCCUUAUUAUUAGUUGCCAGCAUUAAGUUGGGCACUCUAAUGAGACUGCCGGUGACAAACCGGAGGAAGGUGGGGAUGACGUCAAGUCAUCAUGCCCCUUAUGACCUGGGCUACACACGUGCUACAAUGGGCAGUACAACGAGAAGCGAGCCUGCGAAGGCAAGCGAAUCUCUGAAAGCUGUUCUCAGUUCGGACUGCAGUCUGCAACUCGACUGCACGAAGCUGGAAUCGCUAGUAAUCGCGGAUCAGAACGCCGCGGUGAAUACGUUCCCGGGCCUUGUACACACCGCCCGUCACACCAUGGAAGUCUGCAAUGCCCAAAGCCGGUGGCCUAACCUUCGGGAAGGAACCGUCUAAGGCAGGGCAGAUGACU